rnacentral:lncRNA from 1 species
CCAAGUUUGAAGGCUCUGUUUAUUCAAUGGCUGUCAAGGAACUCCACCACAAGCUUCUGCAGGUAGCUGCAUUUCUUUGGCUUUGCCAUUUUCACCAAACUGAGCUUCUGCUGAAAGGUUUCAGUCCUUGGAUACUGUGGCUUUGGAGAGAAAGAAGUGACCUUUGAAGCCUUUGCCUGUGGGGCUCACUGCAGAAUUGUGUCCGACUUUCUUCAGGACCUUCUCAUAAUGAGUUUCCAUGCAUAAGAAGAUGGUAUAUGCUGUUAAACAAGCCAAGCAGACUUCAAGAUAUGACUGGCCCCCAAGCUUCUCUGCUUCUGCGUAAAGAUUAUGUAGAGUUCGAACUGUUUCUUCAAACUGCUGUCUAUCAAUCCUGUCCUCCAGCUCGCGGGGAACUUGGUCUGGAACUGGCAGCGUGUGCUGCUGCUGUAGUCUCGCUGAAUGAACACCUUCCCGGACACCGGUGCCUGCUGUGGCCUCAUGGCAAGGACAGGACCCACCGCACCGCCUCCUUGGCCCUCCAGCAGCUGUCGCCUAUCUUCUAACUCUUAGUUCCAUCAUUGUGAAAUAGAAAGUUUGUUUGGAUCCUAAUGUUGUAUGUUUCUUUCUUUAAGUAUACAUGAUACUGUGAGGAUCCUCAAGAUU